UACAGAGGGUGCUAGCGUUGUUCGGAAUUAUUGGGCGUAAAGCGCGUGUAGGCGGCUCAGCAAGUCAGGUGUGAAAGCCCUCGGCUUAACCGAGGAAGUGCGCCUGAAACUGCUGGGCUUGAGUACCGGAGAGGGUGGCGGAAUUCCCGGUGUAGAGGUGAAAUUCGUAGAUAUCGGGAGGAACACCAGUGGCGAAGGCGGCCACCUGGACGGCUACUGACGCUGAGACGCGAAAGCGUGGGAGC
rnacentral:rRNA from 1 species